rfam:Streptococcus suis 05ZYH33, complete genome.
AAAUCCUUUAAAACCUGUCCAGAGAGGCAGACAAGGAGUCGGAUGUUAAGCAGGUUGGUUCUAACUAGCCUAUAUUUUCAUAGUCUCCUUGUAUAAGGAGACUUUUUCUAU